rnacentral:rRNA from 1 species
GCUUGUCUCAAAGAUUAAGCCAUGCAUGUCUAAGUAUAAGCCUUUAUAUGGUGAGACUGCGAAUGGCUCAUUAAAUCAGAAACUGUUUAUUUGAUAGUGCCUACUACAUGGAUACCUGUAGUAAUUCUAGAGCUAAUACAUGCAUCAAACCUCGACUUUUUUGGAAGAGGUGUAUUUAUUAGAUGGAAACCAAUGCGGGGCAACCCGGAUUCAGGUGAUUCAUAAUAACUUUCGGAUCGAUCUUCGGAUCGAUGCAUCAUUCAAGUUUCUGCCCUAUCAGCUUUGGAUGGUAGGGUAUUGGCCUACCAUGGCUUUAACGGGUAACGGAGAAUUAGGGUUCGAUUCCGGAGAGGGAGCCUGAGAAACGGCUACCACAUCCAAGGAAGGCAGCAGG